GUGAGGAAUAUUGGUCAAUGGGCGAGAGCCUGAACCAGCCAAGUUGCGUGAAGGAAGAAGGAUCUAUGGUUCGUAAACUUCUUUUGCAGGGGAAUAAAGUGCGGGACGUGUCCUGUUUUGUAUGUACCCUGAGAAUAAGGAUCGGCUAACUCCGUGCCAGCAGCCGCGGUAAUACGGAGGAUCCGAGCGUUAUCCGGAUUUAUUGGGUUUAAAGGGUGCGUAGGUGGUUUGAUAAGUCAGCGGUGAAAGUUUGCAGCUUAACUGUAAAAAUGCCGUUGAAACUGUCGGACUUGAGUGUAAAUGAGGUAGGCGGAAUGCGUGGUGUAGCGGUGAAAUGCAUAGAUAUCACGCAGAACUCCGAUUGCGAAGGCAGCUUACUAAGCUACAACUGACACUGAAGCACGAAAGCGUGGGGAUCAAACAGGAUUAGAUACCCUGGUAGUCC
rnacentral:rRNA from 1 species